CACGGCGUCGUUCUUCUUCCACCGCCGAAAUAAUACUUUUUAGGGUUUUUCUUGUCUCUCUGUGUUUUAAUCUUCUAUUUUUAGGUUUUUUUCAAAGGUUGGGAAAUUGAUCUUCUCUUUUAUUCAUGUUGCUGUUUAUUGUUUGUGUUGUGAUGAAAAGAAUUGGCUAUUCAGUUAACUAAAGGAUUUUACACCGUGCAUGAAAGGUAGUCUCUGUACUGAUAAAAUCAUGAAAAAUGCUUAAUAGUAGGGAACAACCAUGGAUCUUGUCUUUGCCCCAACCUCUGGUUAGUUUUAGUAUCACAAUAUUCUCCUUCUUUGUAAUUGUACCAGCAAUUAAUGUACUAGUUUUAACAAAUUACUCAAUUAGUUUCAAAGAAAAUGGAAUACUGCUCUUGUAUGGAGGCCAAUAUGAACUGUGAUGGUUACCAGUAACUCUGUUAUGAAGUUGUCGGUCGUGAACAUUGCAAAGCUUGGCAGCAGCCACAAACAAUCUAGUAAAAUGCUGGGGGUUGGGGCAAAACAAAAAACCUAUGCGGU
rnacentral:lncRNA from 1 species